rnacentral:rRNA from 1 species
UACGUAGGGUGCAAGCGUUGUCCGGAAUUAUUGGGCGUAAAGAGCUCGUAGGCGGUUUGUCGCGUCUGCUGUGAAAACUCGGGGCUUAACCCCGGGCCUGCAGUGGGUACGGGCAGACUAGAGUGCGGUAGGGGAGAACGGAAUUCCUGGUGUAGCGGUGAAAUGCGCAGAUAUCAGGAGGAACACCGGUGGCGAAAGCGGCUUCCUGGUCCAGCACCGACGUUCAGGCACGAAAGCGUGGGGAGCAAACAGGG